rnacentral:rRNA from 1 species
UGGGGAAUCUUGCGCAAUGCGCGAAAGCGUGACGCAGCAACGCCGCGUGGGGGAAGAAGGCCUUCGGGUUGUAAACCCCUUUCAGGAGGGACGAAGGCACGGCGGUGAACAGCCGACCGUGCUGACGGUACCUCCACAAGAAGCCCCGGCUAACUACGUGCCAGCAGCCGCGGUAAUACGUAGGGGGCUAGCGUUGUCCGGAAUCAUUGGGCGUAAAGCGCGCGUAGGCGGCCCGGUAAGUCCGCUGUAAAAGUCAAAGGCUCAACCUUUGAAAGCCGGUGGAUACUGCCGGGCUAGAGUCCGGAAGAGGCGAGUGGAAUUCCUGGUGUAGCGGUGGAAUGCGCAGAUAUCAGGAGGAACACCGAUGGCGAAGGCAGCUCGCUGGGACGGUACUGACGCUAAGGCGCGAAAGCGUGGGGAGCGAACAGGAUUAGAUACCCCCGUAGUCC